GUGUAAGGGCCCUGUGUGAGCUGUGUGGGUCCUAUCUGUGUAAGGGCCCUAUGUGAGCUGUGUGGUUCCUAUCUGUGUAAGGGUCCUGUGUGAGCUGUGUGGUUCCUAUCUGUGUGAGGGCCCUGUGUGAGCUGUGUGGUUCCUAUCUGUGUGAGGGCCCUGUGUGAGCUGUGUGGUUCCUAUCUGUGUGAGGGCCCUGUGUGAGCUGUGUGGUUCCUAUCUGUGUAAGGGCCCUGUGUGAGCUGUGUGGUUCCUAUCUGUGUAAGGGCCCUGUGUGAGCUGUGUGGUUCCUAUCUGUGUAAGGGCCCUGUGUGAGCUGUGUGGUUCCUAUCUGUGUAAGGGUCCUGUGUGAGCUGUGUGGGUCCUAUCUGUGUGAGCUGUGAGGUUCCUAUCUGUGUAAGGGCCCUGUGUGAGCUGUGUGGGUCCUAUCUGUGUAAGGGCCCUAUGUGAGCUGUGUGGUUCCUAUCUGUGUAAGGGUCCUGUGUGAGCUGUGUGGUUCCUAUCUGUGUGAGGGCCCUGUGUGAGCUGUGUGGUUCCUAUCUGUGUAAGGGCCCUGUGUGAGCUGUGUGGUUCCUAUCUGUGUAAGGGCCCUGUGUGAGCUG